AAACCUCCCACCCCGUGUUCACGUGUUCCCGACUCACAGAAACCCUAGCGCGGAGAUCCUCCUUGCAGCAAUCCUCCGUGCGGCGAACCUCCUUGCGGCGAUCCUCCCUUCGGCGAUCUUGCGGUGAUCUAGCAGCGUUCUUCCCUAUCGCGAAGGCUACCCCACCCGCGAACUCUUUCCCCCCUUCGCGAAGAGCUAGCGGCUUCCCCCUCGGAAGGUGUCCCAGUCGCGAACAUUCCCGACUCUUCUUGAAAAAGGCUGAUAUGGCUCGAUUAGAAGAAAUUAUGUGCUAAAGCAGCUUAAUGAGAUCCAUCCAAAAUAAAUUAAAUAUUUGAAUUAGGUUCUUGGUACUUAUGUUUUGAUAUACUUUGGAUUGAACUUGGAUGUAUCUUUUUGUUUGGAUUCAACUUGGAUGAAUUUUUUUUUUUUAAUGAACUUGGAUGUUAUUGGAUUGAACUUUAAUAGUGCUUAACAUUUCUUCAGUUUGGGCAGCCAUUCUGGUCCCUUGCCAUUCUUAUUGGAGCUUGGAUGAAUUUCCAAGCUAGAUCUUUAAUAUCUUUAAGAAAUUGAUAGUGCUUGAGAGAUACUUCUACUAUGAUUUUGUUUGGGAUGAAUAUUUAUAGGGUACAGUUUUAAUAUUUGAUCUUUAAUAUCUUGGUGUUGAGAAAUAAUUAGGAUUAUUUUUUCUUUUUGAAGUUGUUCAUAAGCAAACAUUGAGGGAAUUAAAUUUCUAAUCUCUUUUCAACUAUAUUUGUCCAAUUCAUAUUGUUUUGUUAUUAUAAGCUAAUUGAUACUUUAAUGAUUCAUGAUUAUUGGAUUAAUAUUUUGGUAAAACUUUCUGGUGGUAGAAUCAUGAAAUUGGGUGAGUUAAAUGGUUUGUCAAAUUAGUGGUAUACCUGAAAUCAAUUUAAGACGUGUUACUAAUUAUUGUUUAUUGUUUUUACUCACCACCAUGCCUUACCAUACUGCCCCAUUUUCGUCAUUUUUUUCCUAUCUGCCAUUCCAUCUGUUUUCUUCCGUAAUGUGGAACCACUGAGUUCUGAAAAAGUUAAGAAUUGAACAUGCGCUUCAAUCUUAUGAUUAAGUAUCUUACUGUUAGUCUAUGAUUUCCUAAUUUUUGUAUUAUCAUUGUCCACUAAUUCGAACAUUUUAGAUUCUAUAGUGGUAUGUGGUGCUUUCUCUAGAGUUGCUUCUGGUGCUCACCUGCAGUCACUGUAUACCACUUUGAAGUUCUGGGUCCACUUGAUGAUUGUCUUUGCUAUCAUGUGCCUGAAUUCAUCUGUUGGUCUUCAUCAUAAUUACAAAUUUUACAUUGUUUUUGGUUCCAUUUACAGCUUGUGUUAUUGGUAUCAAUUUACAUAAGUUGACCUCAGGUUUGCCUGACUUUUUUGGAACAAGUGUGAUCUUCUUGGUGUGAGUUUUGGUGCGAACAUUGUUGAUUUUGUUGCUCGAAAAGCAUUCGAGGCAGGAAAACUGAUUGAAUCGGUUAAGGUUGUCGCCCAGGUGUUGAUGUAUCCCUUCUUCGCAAGAACUGUUCCCAUCCAUUCUGAACUAAAGCUAACUGGUUGAAUUCUUUCUCGCUCUUUCCUUUUGUUUACCUGUGAAUUAAAAUUCAGAAACCUUGGAAUUACCAAAAAAGAGCUCGCUUUGUCAUAAAA